UCUCAUUUUUUCAAUUUUAUUUUGAAUUACAGAUUGAUUGCAUAUCCCCACCUGGAAUGUCAUAUGUAUCACGGCAGAGAGCAUUCAAUGGUGCAUUCGACCGUGAGCUCCUCUUGUAUCAGACCAAUUCUCUUGGUUCGAUUGAUAUGUUCUUUUUCCCUAUUUUCCCCGAUGAUCAGUCGUAUGUUAUUUGUUUUGACCUAUGGAAAGAGCUUAUUUUCAUCAUAAACUCUUAUGUCGAGUUGAAUAAACAUCCAGUUGGAUCAAAUUACAACGUAUUGUGCGAUAUUCUUGUAAGUUGUUCAUGUGUAAAAAUAUAAUGUAUUCAUGAAAAUUAAAUGUGUUUGAUAUACUUUGCUUUAAAUUCAGCGGUUACUACUGCCAGAGCUUCUAAACAACAACCGUGAAGAUCUGAGUUCGGCAUCUAUUGCAAAAUCAGAAUUGGAGGUUGUGGAUCUACAGUGGGCUGACAGUAACAAUAUAAUAGAUGAUGCUUUGUUCGUGAUGAGGCAUAUGGAGACUUUUGAGGGAGAUACGUCUGUGCAUUGGAAUGAUGGAUUAGUCAAUGCUAUAGAUCAUCACCUAGGAGUAUUGAGGUUAAGAUACUAUGCAACAAUCGUUUCAUGGGACAAAAAAAAUUAUAAGGAUGAGGUUGUGCGCGACUCAACUGCGACAUAUGGGGCUGGCCUUGCGAAGAAUUUGACUAUAUUUGAUAAGGUUCUCACAGGAUAUUAAUGAAUUCCAAAACAUGCUACUUGAGUAUUUGUUGACAUUUUUUUGGUCAUCACCAAGUGAUUUUCGUACACCUGUACGAGACUUUUUAUUAUGAUAUUGUUCAUUGAUUUUUUAAGUUAUAUGACAAAUAAACUGGUAU